rnacentral:rRNA from 1 species
CAGCAGCCGCGGGAACACAGAGGGUGCGAGCGUUAAUCGGAUUUACUGGGCGUAAAGCGUGCGUAGGCGGCUAAUUGAGUCGGAUGUGAAAUCCCCGAGCUUAACUUGGGAAUUGCAUUCGAUACUGGUUAGCUAGAGUGUGGGAGAGGAUGGUAGAAUUCCAGGUGUAGCGGUGAAAUGCGUAGAGAUCUGGAGGAAUACCGAUGGCGAAGGCAGCCAUCUGGCCUAACACUGACGCUGAGGUACGAAAGCAUGGGGAGCAAACAGGAUUAGAUACCCGUGUAGUCCCUGUCUCUUAUAC